GAAUUUUAUAUAAAUUUAUUAAAUAUUUAAUUUGGAUUUAUAAAUAAUAACUAUUAUAUUUAAUUGGGGGGAUUGUUAAAUAAAUGAAACUUUAAUUAAAAAAGAACAUAAAUUAGUGGUUGGAAAAAAUUAGGAAUUAUUAUUAAAUUAGAGUAGAAUAAAUUACCUUAGGGAUAACAGCGUUAUAUUUUUAAAGAGUUCAUAUUGAUAAAAAUGUUUGC
rnacentral:rRNA from 1 species